AGAGUUUGAUCCUGGCUCAGAACGAACGCUGGGGAGGAGGAAGACGUGCAAGUCGAACGAGAAGUCACCUUCGGGUGGAGGAAAGUGGCAGACGGGUGAGUAACGCGUGGGAACGUGCCUUUCGGUUCGGGAUAACCCAGGGAAACUUGGGCUAAUACCGGAUACGCCCUUCGGGGGAAAGAUUCAUUGCCGAAAGAUCGGCCCGCGUCGGAUUAGCUAGUUGGUAGGGUAAUGGCCUACCAAGGCGACGAUCCGUAGCUGGUCUGAGAGGAUGACCAGCCACACUGGGACUGAGACACGGCCCAGACUCCUACGGGAGGCAGCAGUGGGGAAUAUUGGACAAUGGGCGAAAGCCUGAUCCAGCCAUGCCGCGUGGGUUUUUUUUUGCCUUAGGGUUGUAAACCCCUUUCAGCGGGGAAGAUAAUGACGGUACCCGCAGAAGAAGUCCCGGCUAACUCCGUGCCAGCAGCCGCGGUAAUACGGAGGGGACUAGCGUUGUUCGGAAUUACUGGGCGUAAAGCGCACGUAGGCGGAUUUGUAAGUCAGGGGUGAAAUCCCGAGGCUCAACCUCGGAACUGCCUUUGAUACUGCAAAUCUCGAGUCCGGAAGAGGUGAGUGGAAUUCCUAGUGUAGAGGUGAAAUUCGUAGAUAUUAGG
rnacentral:rRNA from 1 species